UGCUCUUAUGUUCUUUAUGUUACGUACCUUUAAAGUACACCUUGAAGGCACUUACACUUUAUAUAUUUUCAGUUUAUGUUGCCUAUUACAACAUUGCAUUUAACAGGAAAAUAUAAUACAAUUCUAAUCCUUUUAUAUUACAUAAAAAAUACAGGAUCAUCUUAAAGUGCCACAAGUUUUUUUUUACAGACCAAACUAGAAUUAAUCCCACCUUAACAAUAUCAAAAUGUAGUUAAUCGCAAUCCAAAAAUAUACAUAUGUGAUAUGCAGAAUUCUUUUUGCAUCAUAUUGCUGAGGGCAUUUGAUAAUCUUAAUAUUUUUCUCUGAAUGUGUUUUGUUGCUAAUGCUCAAAUAAAUUCUAAAUACAAGACUUUUAUUUGUACUUGGCUAUUUCUCCCGCAGUUAAGAUCUCGACACUCCUGCAAACAGUUUUCCAGUUGGAGAUCUUUCCUCCUCAAACUCCCAGACCACACUGCUGAGAUCACAGCAAAAACAGCCCACAGUGGGUUGAUUGACAGCUCCAUUUCAGCCAAUGAGAACCUCCAGAGCUGCUGAUUGGCCAAAUAAGCACCACUAACAGGCCUUUGCACUUCACUGAAUUUACCUUUUUUUUGCCCCCAGCACUUACGCUAAACCGUUCUGUAAGCCACCACUGGGGGACGCUGCCUGCCUGCACUGAAGUGAAACAAUCACAGGGGCCAUAAUGUCAAUGCCCCUGCACCUCAGUUCACUAAUGCGAAUGGAUUUAUGCAAGAAAGCUCGUAGCAAAAGACAGCAGAACAAAAGAUUUCACAUUGGAACUGCCUGUGAUAGUUGCUGAUACGGUUUCAUGCUCAGGGCAGGAUUAUGUAACACUCCUGUUCAUGGAAUAUACUUAUGCAACAGCAGCACCAUGAGAAUGUAACCCAUGUACAGGGAGGCGAUACUGAGCAUUGAUACCCCUGUUUCACUUUCAGUCAGAAAACACCAUGCAGGGCCCUUGGGGUGUGAUUAAAAGCGGUUUCAACGACAAGCCUGGUAGAGGCCUGCAGGGAAGAUGAAUGUGGUGUGUAGAGUCUUCAGAGAGGUUGCUCAUUGAUUGAAAUCUCAGGAGGACAAGAAAUAGGCCGUAUGCAAGUUGCAAAUCGAUGUUGGUCAUUUAGACGUGCUACCUAUGUUGCAUUUAACUCCCAUGUGCAGUGGAAACUUCACACAGGAGGCUGGUAUGAUGCUCAGGAAUCGCAGGCUCUAUAUUGAUAAAGUCAAGGUGGGAAGAAGCUGUUUUCUUCUGUGAUUAAUUAUUAAGCAAAGACGCUCUAAACAACUUUAAACCAUUUUCUGUUUUUUGUUCCCUUGGACAUUUCUUUCCACACCAGCUUAUAAACCUCCAGAGCUCUUGUUGUCCCCUCAAGUCUGUGUUAAUGUUAUGAAAACCCUGAACUAAUCUAAGAUUUCUCUACAUUUUCAUUUAGUAUCUGAGCUAUAAUUAUGGUAACAAACCACCCUUUAUAAAGGAUUUAUCAUUUAUAUCUCAUUUAUUUACUAAGUAAUGCUUUAUAGAUCAGUUAUAAGUAAAACAGGUAGCAGCUUUUGGGUUGCCAGGUUGUACAACAAGUUUUUGGCUGAUGCUUGUUAGGAUUUUUGUUUUUUAUAACACAUUAUUUACAACUUAUGCACUCUUGUAACAGAUUUGUAAUUUGUAUGUGAUUUUAAUGCUUUAUAGAUCAGGAAUAAGCUGGUCUGGGAGCGACUUUUGGGUUGCCAGGUUACGCAACGCAAAAGAUACCUUUAACUAUGACCAAAGGACAACCUUGGAUGAAUUUAAAGAACAUUUUUACUGUCAGCGCUGGCUGGAAGCCCACACAAACCCACCGCUGCUCCUCUCCGAUCUGAAGGACCACCUCGGUGUGAAGGCCUGCAACGGCGGCGGUGAGCAGUGAUUCAUGGCGCGCAGCUCAGGGCUAAGUUGAAGAAAAAUGGUGAUGAUUCAGUGUGGGGAGCUGCUCUGCUGAGGGACUCCUGUGUGGCCGGUCAUGGAACACAGAAUGAUAAUGACAGCCAGACAAGGCAGCUGCAGAGAGAACACGGACCAAUCUCCACCAAGUCUGAGGCUGCAUUAUGUGACCGCCAAGGGAGAGGACCUUCAAAUAAGAUGUGUUUCUCCGCCGGACUCGAGAGUGCUUUGUUUUAGAAACAGCCCUCGGCAGUUUUGGGGGGAGUCAACAGAAGCCUGUUCCACACAGUGUCUGUAGGUCUGUCCACGAGGGAUUCACAAUGAAGCGGUCAGUCCAGGGCAGGCAGAGAGUUAAGAUAUAUUUCCUUCUCUUUGUCAAGAUGUGUUUCAUACAUGUUUUAUUUCUUGAAACCCUCAUCAAGACCGACUGAAUAGUGGCCGGUUCAGAGGUUAAACCGAACAGUGCAGCUUAAUUUAUCUGUGCAAGAUGAGCAUCUGUUCUUAUCUGAUGACACAAAAGUCAGAGAAAGAAUGAAAAGAUGACAAGUUGUAAAAGGUUCAAAGGGUUGUUUUGAAGGCAGGUGAAGAACAGCUCUAUCCACCUCGAGCUUGACGUUCAGACUCACCAUACUUCAUUGUGAGACUGUCUCCUUCACUUCUUUGGUACGUGUUCUGUUAAGACUCUGUUAAGCUCCAUCUGGGGCCCAGUGAUGUUUGGGUGAUUAAUUCUCUUGUCACUAUGAUUGGAACCAGCAGCCUAUUCUGGUUUCUUUCAAACAGUGCAAUCUUCAAACUUUAAUCUCUUAAUGUUAAAAAACAAAAGAAAAACGCUGACAGUUUGAUCUAUAGUGGAGCCUCGUCUGUUCAACCACCCAUAUUCAGACUAUAAAAUAAAUUUAUGGCAGAAUUUGUUCACAUAUUGUAUUUGUACUGUAUGUGUGGACAAUGUUGCGUUGUCAGUUGCUGUUUCUGAGGAGCAAUUUCUGAAAUACAACUUUGCUAGUAUGAGAGAUCCCAACUCUAAAUUUUGUUUUCAUAAUUAAUGAAAUCAGAUUUUUAUGGGAAAUGUGGUGACACAAUAAAAUAAAGUAUAUUGAGACAUCAUUAAAUUAUUCAAAUUUGUGCUAAAUUUUACUUUACAAUGGAUUUCUAUUUGAACAACAAGGUUCUUUUGCCUGAAAAUUACAAAGAUUUUUUUUAAGGAAAUGUAGCUUCUACAACUUUCUAAAUGGUUCUGGUCAUUUCUACCAUGUUUUACAGCGUUCUAAUACAGUAUAAACUGCGAACAGCUGAUGCAGUUAUUCUCUAGUCAUUUGCAAGCCGUGGCAGCUCAGUGAGUUGUUCGGGUCCAUCACUGAGGGAAAUGCUCAUUGUGGCUGCUCACAUGAAGUUUAAAGGUUAUAAAGCCAUAUCCAAGUGUUUUCAAGGUCCAGUGGCCACAGUACAAAGAAUCUUGAGAAAGCACAAGGAGUUCCACACUGUGAAACAUCUCAAAGGGCUGCUAGGAAGAUAAAAGUGACUCUAAUGCUGGCAAGAAUGGUAGAGGCCAAGAAGAAUCCAAGCAUCAGCACCAAGGCUAACCUAAGGAGAAUUCUAUUUCUACAAAAGAGACUCAGCUGGACAAAGAAGACAGUUUUGGUCAUCAGUUCUGUGGUCAGAAGCAAUAAAAAUGGGGUUGUUUUGGACACAUGGAUGUGGCUUUAGUUUCGUGGACAAUGAUGUGAAACAGAGCUGAAGGGUGAAGAAAUGGUGAAAAGGCUGGUCUCCAUGGAUCAGACCAAGGAGGACUCCACUUCUCCAAGACAGACACACUAAAGCUCAGCUGGACCUGCAGCACUUCUCUAAUUAGUUACUGGUCAAUUACAAGUCAUGUCUAAAGUAAACUGCAUCAUGAAAAAAGAGGAAACACUGAGAUUGUGGAGGAAAACAUAAGACAGUCUGCAGAAAAACUGCUCUUUGGGCAGCACUGGAGCUUCCAACAAGACAAUGAUGUGAAACAUGGAGCCGACGUGGUGAAGAAAUGAUGAAGAGAAAACAAUGAGAAGAUGUUGGAGCGUCCCAGCCAGAGUCCAGACCUGAAUCCAUCCAGAAUGUGUGGAGGAACUGAAGAGCAGAGUGAUGGAGAGGAAGCCUUCAAACUCAAAGAUCUAGAGAUGGACUCUUGGAGGAACUAAAUCCCAACGGAGACAUGCAGAAGGACUGUCAGACACUAGAACAAUGUUUGACUAAUGUGGAUAAAACAAAUGGUCUGCCAUUUACUGACUGAUUGCCAUUGAUAAUAGUUUUGGACAAGACAUUUUCAGUAUAAAAAAUUCAACCAUGACCAUAUUUUCACUUUUUAAUGCCAUUUUUGACAUUUUGUUCUUAUAAAACUCGACAAUAAAGGAAAAGUUAACAUGAGUAAGAGCAAUUUGGGGCUGAAGCAAGUAUCUUAUUCUCUUUAUAGUGGUUUCAGGGGAAGUUAAAAGAAGAAACAUGGGUUUAAAAGUUUCAUUACAGCCUCUAACACAAUAUCUUGCCAUUUUUAUUUUACCUAUUGGUCAAAUAAAAAUGUAUUAUAAAUUAAAUUUUGCAUGGGUAUUAAUAAUUUGGGGCUUAAAAGUACAUGUGAAACACCAAAAAAGUACUAAAAGCAUCAGCGUCUACUUGAUUGUUUCACUUUUCUAGAUGUAGACAAGGAAAGUUACUCAAAUAAUUUUUCACCAGUCAUUCAAAUGUUGGAUUUUUUUUCCUGUCCUAAAGUUUCCUCCUGACUGCUGUUAAAACUUUAACCUUAAUGAUGUGCUGUUGAAUAUGUCAUUAUUGAAGCCAUCGCACUGAUACGUACCAGUGCCAUCUGUUUCCAAACUCAUAAUAGAGUUCCAGUGUUGCAUCAUAAAAAAUAAAUGCAUGUAAUGAAAUAUAUAAUCAUGAGGCGAACAAAGCUAUUUCUAGUGCAUUACCAUUAGUAUUGAGAGUGUGUAUUAAUAUUUAUAGUGUACUUCACACUAUUGCAUUUGCAUGGCAAUCUAGUUUCUAAAAAUGGAUAUAGGACAUUUCCUCUAGAUUCACCGAGCAGCAGUAAAGAGUGAUCUCAUUACCGCGUUUACACUCACGCUGUUUAAAACCUAUACUGUAACUCAUAUUCAGAGGUUAUCGCAGGUUGUUUGCUUUCUAUUCUAAGCCUCAUAAGAAAUGAUUCAGGAUACGAGACAGGCAUAUGAAUAUCUUAGAGGUUAUUAAACAUUACACGAGUCUCUUCGAGGUGUUUGUUCUUCACGCGUCCGUUCGUGCUCUCUUUUUUUCUUAGUCAGUGUGUGCCUAUGUACAGUAUGUCGGCCUGAACAGGAGACAUUGUUUCCGCAUGUGAGGGAGAUGAAACAGAAAGCACAGAAGAGAAAGAGAGAGAGAGGAAGAGCGAGAUCAAAGACUGUGGUGGAGCCAGGCCCUGUAUCAGAAAUGAGGUUGGAAGGCUCUCCCUCCUCUCUCCAUCCGGUUCUCCUCUGAUCAUCGACCCUGAGGAGAAUAAACUCAAUCCAUGUUAAAUUAUAGAUUAAGGCCCAACUCUGGCUGUGGUGUUGGCAGCUGGCGGCUGGAUGCGCGUCGAGCUGCACUGAGUUUUUCACACACUUCUGCUGCCUCUACUGUUGCCUCACCUCGCCACAUUAUCAAAAUCAACAUCAUCCACAGCAGAUGAAUAACAGGAUUUAAAAGAGACUGUAUGAAUAUGUAAAGACUCUCUGUGCAAUGUGCCUUCCGCGAGGCCAUGUUUGUGUUUUGAUGCUUCGUGGAUGAGUCAACCUUUUGCAUGACUUUUUUUUUCUUUUAUUCUCACAUUGCUCUUUUAGCUCUAUAAUAAGAUGAUAUGUAAAGUGGUAGUUGUAUGAAAGAAAAGAUAAAAGAUUUUUUUCACUCUGAA